rnacentral:rRNA from 1 species
UAGGGAAUCUUCCUCAAUGGACGAAAGUCUGACGGAGCAACGCCGCGUGAGUGAAGAAGGAUUUCGGUUCGUAAAACUCUGUUGUUAGGGAAGAAAAAAUGUAUAGUAACUAUAUACAAAAGAGACGGUACCUAACCAGAAAGCCACGGCUAACUACGUGCCAGCAGCCGCGGUAAUACGUAGGUGGCAAGCGUUGUCCGGAAUUAUUGGGCGUAAAGCGCGCGCAGGUGGUUUAGAAAGUCUGAUGUGAAAGCCCACGGCUCAACCGUGGAGGGUCAUUGGAAACUAAUAAACUUGAGUGCAGCAGAGCACAGUGGAAUUCCUAGUGUAGCGGUGAAAUGCGUAGAGAUUAGGAGGAACACCGGUGGCGAAAGCGGCUUCUUGGCCUGAAACUGACACUGAGGCGCGAAAGCGUGGGGAGCAAACAGG